GCCUGGCUAGCUCAGUCGGUAGAGCAUGAGACUCGGGUCGUUGGUUAGAGGCCCACGUUGGGCG